rnacentral:rRNA from 1 species
CCCUUAGAUGUUCUGGGCCGCACGCGCGCUACACUGAUGCAUUCAACGAGUCUAAAACCUGCUCUGAUAGGGGUGGGUAAUCUUUUGAAUGUGCAUCGUGAUUGGGAUAGAUGAUUGCAAUUUUUCAUCUUCAACGAGGAAUGCCUAGUAAACGCAAGUCAUCAGCUUGCAUUGAUUACAUCCCUGCCCUUUGUACACACCGCCCGUCGCUCCUACCGAUUGAAUGAUCCGAUGAAUAUCAUGGAUUGAGGAUGCAAGUAGGUUCGCCUAUCUUCAUCUUCGAGAAGUGAAGUAAAUCUUAUCAUUUAGAGGAAGGAGAAGUCGUAACA